rnacentral:lncRNA from 1 species
AAGGUAGGAAGGGAAUUCAGUCACAGGUAAUGUGUGUGCCGUUGGAGGAUCUAUUGGAUUGAGAGACUACUUUGGCCAUAAACCAAAAAGCAUAGGGGCCCCGAGUCAGGAGGCGUUAAGUAAGGUAAAGCAACAGAUGUAGGUCCAUAUGGAGGAAAAAUUCAAUGAGCAAUAGAGUCAUGCAACGCCUCUAACAACAAGAAAAAUAUCACAAGCUUCUUGAAGAAAUAAUUCAUAAGAUGUCCCAACAAUAGAGGGAGGACAUCCCCACAGAAGAUCCAACCCCACAUCGUGUGAGCACCAAAGGCUCAUUCUCUACUGCAAAUUCUACCGAUUAUACUUGUCAGUGUGAACGUUCAGUUGAUGAGGA